AAUAAAAUUAAAUCCAUUUCGUAAUAUAUUACUCGAUUCAACAUCCUUUUCAGAGAAUUCUUGUGGAUGCAUAGUUUCCUUCAAACUGAUGUCAAGGUCAACUACAGGGAGCUGAUGACAAGAUCACAUGCAUCAAUGGGUGAUGGCUCAGUCAUCACAACAGAGGUUGACUGACAGCAUCGAUUAGCUUCUUAUUAGAUAGGAGGGCAUUAGAAUAUAUCCCAGCCUGCAAGUAGCUAAAAGUAGAUUCCCCUGGAAUGACGCCCAGCCCGUGGAUAGAUGGUAAGCUGAUGUGAUUAUUAUUAUUAUUAUUAUAGUGGCAAAACUCCUUGAAUAAGCCUUAGAUAGUAAAGUAGAGUUGAGAUAUUUGGGAAUCUUGAGUACCUUAUAUCAGGAAUGCAAUUGGUGUAGUAGGACAAGCUUUGAUGUCAAAUCUCUGUAGAAAUAUAAUUGAGGUUAGAGGAAGAAAAGAUCAUAUUAGUGAAAGAUAAUAGGGAAAAAAUAACUAUCAGAUAGCAUUAAAACAAAUCAAACUAAUUUAGAAGAUUCGAG
rnacentral:lncRNA from 1 species